GACGUACUAGGUUAUGUUAAGCUUGAGAUACAAACCAGUGCGGAGUCAUAAGUAUAUAUCACUGUUGACUUAUUGAAAAAUGCUGUUACGAUACAAGAAUAUAUCUAUGCAUAUAAUAUAUUUACACGUAUGCUAUCGCAUACUCCAGUGCGCUCUCUUUUUCCGCACAGUGUUAGUUUAAUUGGCGGCAUCUCGGUAGAGGAUGUCACCAGGGGCGGUGUUUGUUUUGAGUAGCCGAGAUUCGAGGGUCAUUGUAUAGCUCAUUGUCUGUGUACCAUAAUUCGCGUAGCCACAUCUCCGAUCUUACCGAGCCCCCGACUGUUUCACUAUCGUUCGAUGUGCAAGCGCCACGGAACGCCGGUCCCUUCUUUUUUAUAUUCCUCCUUUUCACUGCGUAUAUUUUAAAAUUCCAUUCAUUAGUUCCAUGUUAGUGCCAUUUAUAUAUAAUAGUUCUAUAUUGUGUAAGUACUGUAUGAUCCCUCGUUGUCAUCAUUUUGUAAGAAUAUGUAGCGAUGUCUACUUAGUGUUCCUAACCUAACCUAAAAUUAUAAGAAGCUACAAUAUGGCGAGAGCGUAAAAUCAGGCAAAGUAAGUGUAUUUGAGUUGUCAAGGUAAAGGAUUUAUAAAAACAUAAGCUGAAACUUUGAUCAGGGCUGCAUGAAGAAAUUUUUAUCGUGAAGAUAUUUGCUUAUUUUUUAUAAAAUGUAUAUAAGAAUUACCUUUUAAAACCCAAUAUGCAAUAAUAAAACUGACGUUCGUAAUUCUUAAACAUUGUAAUACUGUUUUAUGAAUUGACUAGAAAUUCUUCAAUUUCUGAAUUUAUGUUAGGUAAAGCACUCGUUAUUUAGAGGAUGAAACGAGCCUAUUUAUAUUGUACUUUUUUGGUUAUAUUUGUCUAUUCAAAAACAUAAAAUUAUAUGGAAAUUAAAAAAGGACCUUAUAAAAAUAUUGCUAUAUAUACAAUUUCUCAAGAAGAUUUUGUAUAAUUAGGCUGAUAUAAAAGUUGAAUUUUCCAUGUUUAAAAGAAUUAUCGCCCGUCUAUAGAUUAACCAGGAUAACCUUACUUUUAGUAUGUAAAGCUUGUCAGAAUAUUAUCGGCGGCCGGCGUUCCUCGACGUUCCUAAUUUUUAGUAAUAACGAUGAAAUCACGCGCCCAGAAAUACGCGUACCAUUAAUUACAAUUAUACGUGAAAGCACACUGCCGCAAUUUUGUAUGAUUGACUGUUGUUAUAUAUACCUAUACCUACAUAUUAUGCUACGUAUACAUAAUUAUUAAUUGUGACUCGAAUCGAACGAUUGGUACGUGUCUGAUGAGGGAUUCCAGGUUAAUAAAUUCAGGUUUCACACAUUUGUAUCUUUUCCGAGCGUUUUCGGUUUGUUCAGUCUGGAAAAAGGUGCAUUUAAAGGAAACAAAAAGCAUUAGAAAUGCAAUCUUUGAGAACCCAAUUGUCAGAAACUGAAUUUCCAGUGGACUGUUGUGUUCAUCAAGUAAGAUAUAAUGAAGAGGAUGAUGCAAAGAACAUUUCUUAUCUAAUAAACGUAUGUCCGAUUUUGCUUCCUUUUUUUUUAUUUAUAAAGCAAAUUACUUGUUGCUAGGCGCCAAAUACUCGCAUUUUCAAACGUCAACUACUUGAAAACAAAACAAAAUCGAAUAUAUAUCUAUUAGAGAAAAAAUGUUUCUUUGAUCAGCCUCUAUCUUCGCCCGAUUAAUCUAUACUUCUGAAAUCAUUCUCUAUAUUUCUUGAGCAUGAAGAAAUAUAAAAUAUAACAAAGGGCAGAUAAUAUAAAACUGAAUACCGAAGCAACAGAUGGACUAGCCGAAAGCAAAAUUUGACAAUCAGUUUUGAAUCAAUUGCAAGACAUUUCAUUUCGAUGAACGAUUCGUACGCAAUGAAAUAUUCGUUUAUGAUGGCCUGGAGAUCCUUCGAAAGACAUCGUAUCGUUAUUAAUGGAACCCCUUGAUCGAAAGAACCGAACGAAGGAACUGAGCCCAAUGUACUGCAAGUUCGUGGCCUCGACUUCUCUAAUUCCUUUCUGAAGAUCGUAUUUUCUUUCGGUAUCUUCGGUCGGCCUCUUCUUCUCCAUUCCAAGAAGACUCAGCGAGCAAUUGCUUAAAAUAAACUAAAGAAGUAUUUAAAAAAUUGUGGAAAAUGAAGAAGGUAUUGAUUCUAAUAAUUCACAACGAAACUUCUGAGGAAGAAGAGGGUCGAAGAGCCACUCAUGACUUCCGUGAGCAUUCAUUUACAAUGUGUAGAGAAGAGAAUAGAGUGGAAGAAAAACGAAGUAGAAUAGACUGGUGAGUGAAAGAAAAAUGAAAGGAAAAGAAAGAAAAAAAAACGAAGCAAGGGGCGUAAUAUCGAUAUAAGAAUCUAAUUUUUUAUUAUGCUCGCAUUACCUGAUUCUCUUGCGCAAUCGCGUUUCAUCGAACAACCAAUACCAUGACUGCAGACGUUUCUUCGGACGAAUUUUUGCGCGAAAUGAAGAAAACUAAAAGAACCCAACGGCUUGUAUUUUCUACCGUGGCACACGAUCUUCGAGCGAUUUUAUUCUUCUUUACGAUAACCCCGCGAUAUUUUAUAGGCCGAUUAUUUUGAUAAGCUCGAGCGCGCCAAUAUCUGAAAGAAGGAGGCGCGUUUGUCUUGCUGCGUACACGAUUCACUGAAGCAGGGCCGUCGAAUUUUCACUGAAAAAGGAGAAAGUAAUAGAAAAGGAGAAAAUAUGGAGAAUAUGCAUUGCAAAAGAGAGAAGAUUCAAUGAAUGGUUAAUAUAGUGAUUUUUAAAUUCUAUAUCUUCUCCUUUACACUUUGAGUAAUGUGUUAGAAGAAAAUAAAAAACUGAUUAAUAUUUGAACACUAAUAGCUUAUCUCUAGAUUUCUAUGAAGUUGUAAAAUAAAUAUGUAAAAGAAAAGAGCAGAAGAGGAAAGCAAGACUUCUUUCAUGAGAGAAAAGGCACAAAGAAUUUUUAACAUCUGUUUCACUGUUGAGGAAGCGAAAUUCCUUGCUAGCUUAUAAUCAACGAAACACAUUUAUUUUCAAACCUUAGGAAAGACAUAAAAGAAGAAGAAGUAACCUAUUCGACGGUUCUGAGUACUAAUUCCGCACAAUGAGACUAGGAAGAAGUAUCAACAAAGCCUCUUGGUAUUAUUUUGAGGUUAGGAGCGCGUAACUUCUUCAAUGACUCGUGAAUACCAGCAUCGUUUCUGAUUUCCCCGUAUACAGGUCUUUUUAAUCGUCGAAUCCUAGCGCUAACAUAUAUUGAACUACGUAUAUACGAUGGACCAUGUUUGUCAUACUGAAACGUUUCUAAAAAAAAAAGCAAAAAAAAAUAAUGUGAGAGAGAGCGAGAGAGAGGGAGUGAGAUUGAGAGAGUUUUUCCAUGGUUUUUCUAUGAUUUAGAAGCAAACAGUAGCCAGAGUGCAAUUGUUGCGCUCUUGAAAAAAAAAUUUCUCAAGGAAGAAAGUUUCAAAAAGAAAAGAAGAGAUGAACGAAUGAGUAUAACUAUCGACUUUCUACGAUUCAAACUUAAGUAGUUCGUAUCAUAUAGUUUCUAGUCGUUCCUCAAAAAUCCUCGAAUCGUCACGAGGUUCAUUCUGAAUCAUUCAACACAAACUUCUUUGAUGAUCUACCUUCAAUACUCGUCUCCUCGAUUCGAUUCAUACGAAGAUCCUAUUCAGCGUUGCAUCAGAUUACUUUUAGAAACGAAUUAGGUAUUCCAAUCAUUCGUUAAUUUUCUUUUAGACCUAAAUGGAUUUUUCAAAUCAGACGCAGGUCAGUUUAGAGGAAAUGCUACUUCAUUGCUACAACGAAGAAUAAAAAGCCAAAGUCUGACUCUAAAUAUACCUUUCGCCUCUCCAAAUCCUUCUAUGAAUAGUCCAGAAGCAGAAAAAAAGAGCUGCAGCACCUAAAGAGAUGGAUGGAAGCUAAAGGGAAGAGGAAGACAAAGAAAACAGCUCACGGUGAACCUCGAGACGAUUUCCAGAAACCAGCUUGGCUACGAUUUACGUUGUUCUUCCUUCGUCCUUCCGGUAGACGAUGAUGAUCUUCAAAUGAGGAGGAGGAUCCUGGAGAAAGAGACACAGUGAGCAGCACAAUGCGCUCUCAGAGCGCGAAUCUUAGAGAAUAGUCACAUGAGGAUGAUGAAAAACGAAGCGGAGAAGAUAUUCGAAUUCCUCGAGCCGUCGUUCACCAUGACGUAGACGUAGAAACGACGAACUUCACACUCCCACGUAUUCAGUGCUCAAUGACUCCAAAAAAACGAAGCAGCCACACAGGAUAGUAAGUAGUUGGCAAGUAGUCGAGUUGUCUAUACAGGAAACGGUGAGACAGAUAUAUGUAUACUUUGAGUCAGUAGACCAAGCAACGAGUUAAUUAUGUACAGAGAAGAAAGACAAAAAGAAGGAGAUGACUAGGAAGAAUAAUUGCAUAUUCUUGAAGAAUACUUGGUUCUUCUGUCGUUUUCUGAGCCCCACAUCUCGGGGGAUUCGAUGUACGAAGCGUUCUCUUCUCAAUUCAUGAAGAAGUUGACGAUGACGAUGAUGCAGAAGUUGAUGAAGUUAGGAGAGAUCAGUGAAGCUUGUAAAUAAGUAGAGUCUCGUUCGUCACGUGUUUGGACUUGGUCUUUGGUCACGGAUGCGCGCGACACAAUUCUAUUCAGAUAAAAUAGAAGAGAAGAGUAUUAUAUAUAUAUAUACACAUACACAGAAUACACGCGUACCAGGGUCGAAGCUGGCUGUCCUGGGGCCAGGUUAUAUUCUCUCUGAUCCAUGAUGUACAGUUUUGGAGGCCGUUGAGAGGCGUGAGGGUCCCAGAACUGGAUACGACCGUGCAUAAUACAGUUAUCUUCAGAAGAGUAUAGCUUCUUGUGUAAUUAUGUGAAUUGUACGUAGAAAGACACUUAUCUCCAAGGAAUAGCUGCGAACACAUAUCUCAAAGCCAGAAUUCAUUCUAUCUGGUGCAGAGGAAAAAAUGGAUAGAGACGGAUUCAGAAUGAUGGCAACGAGAUGUGGGCCCUCCUUUGAAUAUUAGAAACUAGUUUCUAGCAAGGAACUUGCCGUGGUCGGUCUUGAUCGCUUUCUUCUUUUCAUUUCUUCCUGGUGGAAAGUGAUUUCUUGUCUGAUCGAUGGACUCGGAGACAAUUAAGACUCUCCAAAUGUAAGAUUUCAUCCUUCUACUUCUUGUCACGUAACCUAGGAAAUAAUAAAUAACAUUCGGUUGUAACGUUUUAGGUUAGGUGUUUUGAAAGAUAGAGAAAUUAGUCAGAAUUGGGCCCACAAAAUCUUGAAAGUGAUUUAAAGGGAUCCGCCGAUCAAGGUUCUGCGCUUGAUCGUUUCCAUCCUUCAUCGAGCAGGGGCAUAAUUAGGUCGUAGGUUUUACCCUAAAGCUUUCAUCGUCCUACAUAUCAUAGAGAAGAAGAGAUCCUUUUGUUUCUGUGGUAGAAAGAUGGGCCUACGAAGAAAAUUCUUAAGGUUCAGUGGAGUACUUAAAUAAAAAGAAUGAAAGUGAGCGUGAGAGUGAGAAAGGAAAGAAAGAGAAAGAGAAAUAUGCAAUUAGGAACUCGAAACAAAAGAAAAGAAGAAAUAAGAGGGCCUCUAGUAAUUGAUAGGGAAACGAGCCGCGUUUCGAGAUAAACGAGAAACACGCUUUUUAGGAUUAGUCGCAGCUUCGACCUAGCCCCCCAAAAAUAUAACUAAAUGGCACUUUCUAAUGUGCACCCUGAAAUUUUUCCCUUUUCCUUAAUUAUCGUGAGUUCUAUCCCUUAAUAUAGAAACUUUGUCUCGAAAAUUCAUUUACCAAUAAUAUAAUAUUAAUAAUACAUCUAUUAAAUUGAAUUAAUUCAUUCUAAUGUUCAAUUUAUGAUCUUAGAUCCUUUUUUAAAUGUUGAUUAUUAUUUUAUGAUAACCUUACGUUGUAAUUAGAGCUCUCGACAAUAAUAAAGGAAAAGGAUCUGAUGCAGCUCAUCGAAUCAUUCAGUUUUCCAACAUAUCCAUCUUCUGACCUCGUAUUUUCAUAAAUCAAGACGUAUGACAUGCACAUCCUCAUCUAUAAGGUUCGUCGACAAAUUAUUUUCAUAAUCAGACUGAUCUACAUCGAUCUCUACUGUCCUUAUUCGAUAGCUACUAUCUUACAGUAUUACAAAGGUCGGAUUCUUUUCUCCUUUUUCGUAAUUCCCGCCAGAACCAGAAACAUUUUUAUACAAAGAAAUUUUUAUGACCCGAAUGAGCGACAAUUGUCAACCCUUUCACAUGAGGGUUUUUUUUCUUCUGAUAUCGUUUACGGAAACAACUCCUAUUGCUUUCAGAUUGUUUGACAAUAAUCGUGACUGAUGAAUACUUAGAACGAUAAUUAUCGAGCUCGAGAACUUCAUAAGGGGAGAAAUACUGAUAAAACCAAAAAAUAAAAAAAAAAUUUAAAAAAAAGAAUAGGAAUAAUAAAAUAAAAGUUGAGUAUUAAUUAUUAAAGUAUGCGCAGAUAACUAAAUCACACGUGUGGAAGGGAUGAAACACUAAGAUAAAUUUGUAUUUCAACAAAUAGUUUUUUUAUUCAUUCCAUGUUAAUUGACGAUUUUGUAUCAUCUUUAUUAUGAUUUAUACAGAUUAAUAUUUCAUAGGAAUCUCUACGUAAACAUGUACAUAUAAUCAGUGCUUAGAUCAUCGGAUCUCCACACACAAUAUCGCUGUCAAUCACUGUCAUGUGAAGGGAGAAAAAGUGAAAGAAUAAAAAGCUUACGAUUAUUUAGAGAGGAGCCUGUGAAACUCUCUGUUAAUAGAAAUAGCGUGGAUGAAUAAUUGCAAUUCACUUGUUGUAUCAUACACCUUGAUUGAGGAAGUCUGUUGCACAUUGGUUACUGUUACACAUAGAAGAAGUUUAAUGUUGAACACUUUAGCCUGAUAUCGAUGAGACUCCAAGCAUACACACAAUUUAAUUUAACGAACGACUAACUUGUCAAUGAAGUUAAAGAUAAAUUUGAAAGAGCUUUUUCGUUUACAGUGUUUAAAUUCUUGUUAAAUGUAUAGCCCACUGUGCAAUCAAUUUCCUCAAUAAUUUUAACAUCUAUGGGGAAUGAUUGGUAAACAGUUAUAGGAACGUAUGAACAAGAGUGAGAGGCAAGCAUACGUGUCUGGGUGUGGAUGAAUGAAACAAGAGCAGAAAGACGAUACAAAGAAGCCAGGCGAUUAAAUCGUCAAGAGAAUUGAAAAUUCUAAGUGUAUAAAUAUAUUUACAAAAUUGAAUGCAUCGAGUGUUGUGUGUGUAGAAGAAUCAGAAGAUGAAUGACAGAGCGAAAUAAUAAACAUGGGGAGAGAGCAGUGAGUUUGGAAGAAGGCGAGUGAAAGUUUAUGUGAAUGUAGAAUAGGUAACGAGAAACUAGAAGCUAUAAAAUACUAAUUUUAGAAGGAGGAAAGGGAAAACGUAGAGACACUACGAAAGAAGGGAAAGAGAGCAGAUAGGACAGUGAUACGAACAAAUGAUGGAUGAGUGGUAUAUCAGUAUUUGCGCAACAACAAAAAAAAAGUUAAAAGUCCCAACUUAGAAGCGUAUCAUGAAAUAAAUUUGACUCGAAUUUCGAGGAUCGAUCGAUCCUCCGAUCGAAGCUGCUGAACGAUCCAGAAGACGAAUGUGUGGCUAAAAGUAUGAAUGAAUGAGCAAAAGGGAGGGUGGGAACGAGGGAGGGAGGGAGAUUAUAUAUAUAUAUAUAUAUACAUAAGACAAGAAAGAAAAAUAUAUAUAUAUAUAAAUUAUACAUAUAAAAAUGAAGGAGAAGAAAAAACAACUAUCGUUGAUCGCUAUACCAAGCAAGUAGAUAUAUAUAUAUAUUAUAUUGAAGAAUAUAUAGUAGCGUGUCAGUAUAAUUAAUUACAAUUUGUAAGUGCGCGUCGCGGCGCGCUUUUACUAGAGACGCCCAUUGACCGCUCAUGCGAACCAGAGAAAAAUCAACUAUGAAAAGAAAGAGAAGCACCGAUGAGAGUGUGAACACAAAAGAUAGUGUCGAGUGGGAAAGUAAAUGAAAAUGCGUAUCUUGUGUGUGACAGUGUCAAUUGUAAAUGCGUCCGGCUUUCUAGAAAUUUUGUCUUCAUCUAGGGAUAUUUUUCUAAUCAUCAAAGAUCUCCCUUGAAAUUUUAGAUCUUACAGUUUUCAACAGAAGAUUCAUCAUAAGUUGGUAGAAUAUCUAAGUAAAUUUUCCUUAGAUCAAAAAUGUUACUAGGUACCUAUAAUAAUUUUUGUUUUUUAAACGUUGGUCAAGCCGGACGCACUCCAAGAAGAUGUAGAAGCACAGUACGCGGAUACAAGUACAGCAACUUCAACACCAAAACGAAAUAGAAUUUCCUGCAAUAUAACAGAAUUUAGAUCAAUUAUGGGAAUUCUUUGUAGCUAGAGAUUAUAAAAUAUUCGUAUUCUUCGCUGUUUUUGCGUGUCACGCGUAUUCGUUUGUCCAAGUCGCUUUGAGGUCCGCAUCGUAACGAACAUUCUCGCGAUAAGAAAAGAAAUCUAGGAAUAAGAUGAAAAAAUCAGUAUGGAAUGGGUAAAAACUCUGUUUCUUCGAUUUAUGUUAUGUUCAAUGUGUUCACACGUGAUCGUAAGAUUUGCGCGUUAGUGAGCCAGGCACAACGGGUGAAAUGGAACUUCUGCUUUCGAGGACUGACUUUUUUAUGUCGUUCUAAAUAAAUAAUAAUUGUAAUGAUAAAGAUAAUGAUAACAAUAAUAUUAAUAGUAAUAUCGAUAACGAUAAUAUUAAAGAAAAAAUAAAUAACGAUGUGUGCGUUCGAAUUGCUAAUAAUAAUUAAUAAUACUAAUAAUACGUAUACUUUAAGGCACGUUUCCACCCAGCGUGUUUGGCCAUGGUAACCUGUUUUCCAUUGUUUGUGAAAGAUUUAUUGCGUCGCGACGUUAUCGAUCUUGAUGACGAUCGAUGUUUAUUAAUGAUUCAAAUGAUUAUCAAUAGUAGAGCCCAUUCGAGGUAAAAAAAGCCCUUCACACUCGAAGUCACUACGGAGUCAUCUAGAGAAAAAUGGAAUCGUAUGGGGAAUUCCCCGAGUUAUUAAAUACUAUGUAUGAAUAAUGAACAUGAACAUAUUAACGACAGAGGUAAAAAGUGGUUCGAGUGAGAAGGGUCGAUUAGUUAUUAAUUAGCCAAGAAUCGGUUAAGCUGGACGCCACACUUUAUUUUUGUUUCAUUUCACGGCAAGUAGACUGCCAACCUAAUCGAUAAUAUCAUUAAAAAGAAGUAAUAAUAAUUUUACUAAUUUCGAACCAAACGAAAUACUUCAAAUUACAAAAAAACGUGUAAUUUCAUUAUUCUCAAUAAUAUAAAUAGUUAUUAGAAAUGGAAUUCUAGAUAUAGGGAAUAUUAGGUAUACGGUAUUUUCUAUCGUGAUCACUACUUCCGUUAUCGAUCAUAGGUUGACAGCCUGCCGGCCAAAAGGUGACGCUUGAUAGCGAAUCGAUAAAUCUCGCGCAAGUAAAUGAAAAGAAAAGCAAAAAAAAAAAAAUGAUAAAGAAUAGGGUUCUAACGUCACCGAUUCCGGUGAUAAUUUAGUCAGUGUUAAGUCCACAUUAAUUCAAGAUGGAGGAUCGAUGGUGUGCGCGAUCAUCGAUCGAAUUAUAAAUCAACAGUAGGACAUAUUGUAGAGCGUGAGAAUUUCAAAGAGGUAGUACUACCGUUGUUCCGUUGAUCGUUUUUAAUAGAUUUUAUUGUGCCGUGACCGCAUCGCGUGCUCCUGCUAAACGUUCGUUUCAUUGCUGAAAGGUAACAAUAAAUAAUUGACUUAUUAACAAACAAUCAUUCGGUGACCUUCUUAAAUAUCUGUAAUUACCCGAUAUCGUUCUGUUCACGUUAACAAUGUUACUAUUUUUAAUUUACUAGGGGAUUUUGGGAUAUGCAACAUAAAUCCUGGGGAAAAUAAUUCCAGAGAUUGGUAUAAUGUAUAAUAGAAGGUAUAGACAGUUCUUUUGCAAUUUAGGAGAAAUUCUUGCUCCUGAGAUUAUGAAGACGUAAAGAAUUUAGUCAAUUAGGUGAUCUUGUAGGGUAUUUUCCUCAGGCAUGAUUCCAUUUAUCCAUAUUAGAAUUAAUUUUAAUCACUCUAUUCCAAAAUCCACAAAAUUAUUCCAAAAUCAAAUUUGAAUUUUAAUUAAAUAUUAUGUAAUAUCUUCUCUUUAAUUUUUAGUUGCUUCAAGGAAUUGUUCUCUUGUGGAAUAACAUGGAAUUCAGUUUCAUCUACUGCUAUCUAGAGAUAUUAUGCAUAACUUGGUACGACCACCAGGUGCUUCGAUCAGAUCUGGUAAUCUGAAAGAAUAAAUUCCCUAGGAAGAUCGAUAUCGAUCUUCCGAAGCGCAGAUUUUAAGUUUUUGUAUUUCCAGUAACAAAAUGAUAAUCGUGAGGUUCCACGGGACGCGGCCACGCUUAGCUAGGACUAUUUUUCUAAGUUGCAAAGCAUAAUAAAUUAACGAUGUUGCAUUAUCGUUAUUAGAGUAUAUUAUAAUGUACAUUGAUAUUUUAACUAGCCGAGUAACCUUGGUUGCGAUCGUCAGUUAUCGACUAAUCGUGCCGGUUCGCACUUGAGGUCGGUGCACGCGCGCGCACUGCGACGCGCCCAUUAGCCUGAUAUACCUAUCAAUAAAAACUGAAAACGACGGCGAAUAUAACACGUAAAUGGGGAUUAAAAUAUCAUGAGAUACGAUUUGUUGCGAGUCAAAACACGCCAUUUUGAGUUCCAGCAUCGAUCGAUUGGCGAUCAAGAAAGUACAAUGGAUGCGAAUUAUCUGAGAGAAAAAGGAAUAUCCUAGACGCGCGUACCACGAGGCUGGAACAUUAAUGAGCGUAUGCGUGCGUGAAAUGUAAGAGUGAUUGAAUACGAAUGGGAGAAAGAUAUGAUUGGUCUUUGACCAGAGAACAAAGAGAAUUAAAAAUAUGAAUCGUUUUGUCAGUCACCUCACUUAUAUUAUACAAUGUCAUAUUACUAUGCUGCCAUAUGAUAUAAAUAUAUGUCUACAGUAAGGAAUAUAUUACUAAAACAUUAUAAAUAAAUAUGUUAUAAGUAAUUA